rnacentral:rRNA from 1 species
GUCGAGAAUCUUUCACAAUGGGGGCAACCCUGAUGGAGCGACGCCGCGUGGAGGAUAAGGUCUUCGGAUUGUAAACUCCUGUCAUGCGUGAACAAGGUUGCUUGGAUAAUACCUGAGCAAAUUGAUGGUAGCGCAAGAGGAAGAGACGGCUAACUAUGUGCCAGCAGCCGCGGUAAUACAGAGGUGUCAAGCGUGGUUCGGAAUCACUGGGCGUAAAGGGUGCGUAGGUGGCGUGGCAAGUCAGAUGUGAGAGCCCGGGGCUCAACCUCGGAACUGCAUACGAUACUGCCAUGCUAGAGUACUGGAGGGGUGACUAGAAUUCUCGGUGUAGCAGUGAAAUGCGUAGAUAUCGAGAUGAAUACCAAAGGCGUAGGCAGGUCACUGGACAGUUACUGACACUGAGGCACGAAGGCCAGGGGAGCGAACGGGAUUAGAUACCCCAGUAGUCC